rnacentral:rRNA from 1 species
AUUGAACGCUGGCGGAAUGCUUUACACAUGCAAGUCGAGCGGCAGCACGGGGGCAACCCUGGUGGCGAGCGGCGAACGGGUGAGUAAUACAUCGGAACAUGCCCAGUCGUGGGGGAUAACACUUCGAAAGAAGUGCUAAUACCGCAUACGUCCUGAGGGAGAAAGCGGGGGAUCUUCGGACCUCGCGCGAUUGGAGUGGCCGAUGUCAGAUUAGCUAGUUGGUGGGGUAAAGGCCUACCAAGGCAACGAUCUGUAGCUGGUCUGAGAGGAUGAUCAGCCACACUGGGACUGAGACACGGCCCAGACUCCUACGGGAGGCAGCAGUGGGGAAUUUUGGACAAUGGGGGCAACCCUGAUCCAGCCAUGCCGCGUGUCUGAAGAAGGCCUUCGGGUUGUAAAGGACUUUUGUCCGGGAGCAAAUGCUGGUGGCUAACAUCCACCGGAGCUGAGAGUACCGGAAGAAUAAGCACCGGCUAACUACGUGCCAGCCGCCGCAGUAAGAC